rnacentral:rRNA from 1 species
AGAGUUUGAUCCUGGCUCAGAGCGAACGUUAGCGGCGGGCCUAACACAUGCAAGUCGAACGCGAAAGGGAUUCGUCCCCAGUAGCGUGGCGUCCGGGUGAGUAACACGUAGGAAAUCUUCCCUCGAGCGGGGGAUAACGUCCCGAAAGGGACGCUAAUACCGCAUAAGCCCACGACCACUUCGGUGGAUGAGGGAAAAGCUGGCCACUGUAUACAAGCUAGCACUUGAGGAUGAUCCUGCGGCGCAUCAGCUAGUUGGUGGGGUAAUGGCCCACCAAGGCUAAGACGCGUAGCUGGUCUGAGAGGAUGAUCAGCCACACUGGCACUGAAACACGGGCCAGACUCCUACGGGAGGCAGCAGUGGGGAAUAUUGGACAAUGGGCGCAAGCCUGAUCCAGCCACGCCGCGUGAGUGAUGAAGGCCUUCGGGUUGUAAAGCUCUGUGGGGAGGGACGAAAACGGCAUCCAAGAAACGGGGUGUCCUUGACGGUACCUCCUUAGCAAGCACCGGCUAACUCUGUGCCAGCAGCCGCGGUAAUACAGAGGGUGCGAACGUUGCUCGGAAUUACUGGGCGUAAAGCGCGUGUAGGCGGGUCGGCAAGUCAGGCGUGAAAUCCCCAGGCUCAACCUGGGAACUGCGCUUGAAACUGCCGGUCUUGAGUGUCGGAGAGGGUGGCGGAAUUCCUGGUGUAGAGGUGAAAUUCGUAGAUAUCAGGAGGAACACCGGUGGCGAAGGCGGCCACCUGGACGACAACUGACGCUGAGACGCGAAAGCGUGGAGAGCAAACAGGAUUAGAUACCCUGGUAGUCC